GUCUUACUGUGGGUUCCCUGCAAGCACUUCACGAUGCAUUAUUCCAAAUGCCACUGUGAAGUGUUUGGGGGAACUCUUGGUGACGC
rfam:Triticum aestivum genome assembly, contig: Triticum_aestivum_CS42_TGACv1_scaffold_158142_2DL